rnacentral:rRNA from 1 species
GAUGAACGCUGGCGGCGUGCCUAAUACAUGCAAGUCGAGCGAACGGACGAGAAGCUUGCUUCUCUGAUGUUAGCGGCGGACGGGUGAGUAACACGUGGAUAACCUACCUAUAAGACUGGGAUAACUUCGGGAAACCGUAGCUAAUACCGGAUAAUAUUUUGAACCGCAUGGUUCAAAAGUGAAAGACGGUCUUGCUGUCACUUAUGGAUGGAUCCGCGCUGCAUUAGCUAGUUGGUAAGGUAACGGCUUACCAAGGCAACGAUGCAUAGCCAACCUGAGAGGGUGAUCGGCCACACUGGAACUGAGACACGGUCCAGACUCCUACGGGAGGCAGCAGUAGGGAAUCUUCCGCAAUGGGCGAAAGCCUGACGGAGCAACGCCGCGUGAGUGAUGAAGGUCUUCGGAUCGUAAAACUCUGUUAUUAGGGAAGAACAUAUGUGUAAGUAACUGUGCACAUCUUGACGGUACCUAAUCAGAAAGCCACGGCUAACUACGUG